UAAAGUUGACAUAGCGCUCAGCUAGAACUGAUUGGCUUGAAUAUAUCCUCCGUCGCUCUGAUGAAGCCUCUGCAGCACGUUUGGAGCGACUCUCACGCGCACGUGAAUCACCUCCUCGCGAGGAUUCUCCUGCUAUGCCUUUUCCUUUAGCAGCCCUAGUAACAGCUUCUUCAGUAGCUUCAGGUGAGCUUGCUUGAUAAUCCGGAUCGGAUCCUGAUGACUCGUCGGCAGUACGAGUUCUCUUUGAUGUCCCGUGACGUCCUCGACCACCACCACGGCCACGACCGGCGGCCAUAAAUACCAAAAG
rnacentral:lncRNA from 1 species